AGGUGCUAGCAGCCUGGGUGUCUGGUGAGAACCCUCUUCUUGGUACAUAGAUGGCCGUCUUCUCACUGUGUCCUUGCAUGGUGAAAGGGACUGUGGGGUGUCUUUCAUAAGGAUGUUAAUCCUACUCAUGAGGGCUCCAUUCAUGACCUAAUCACCUCCCCAAGGGCCCACCUCCAAACACCAUGACAUUAGGGAUUAAGUUUCAAUAUAUAGAUUUUUGGGGGACUCAUUCAGUCUAUAGCACCCUCAAAUUCCUGGGUAAGUUGUCAGGGUAGAAAUGAGAUUUAGGGCUGGGGCUGCAGAGCUCCUAAGUUCAGGAUUUGGGACAGCACAGAGCAGGGCCAGAGGAGUCCAGUCUGAGGAUCCGGGUGCUAGUGUCACCAGAGAGGAAAGGGAUGGGAUCCCCAGAGUCCUUGGCCAGUGAGCUGCAGAAGGUAUACUGGCCACUACUGGAAAUGGGUAGUUGGUUGCCUGGGUCCUUUUGUUGAGAUCCUUGUAGCCCCACCACAUGUUCAUCAGCUGGUGCUCAGGGGCCCCUUGGCCUGGUUCUCAAAGAGGAGGAAGGGACAACUGGAGGCUGGAACCACUGGCUGCUCUGGGCUGGGUUCAGACGUGGCUGUGAUGUCCUAGCGCAGGGAGUGAGAGCCUGGAAAUUCUGGGAAUUUGGGAUCAGGGCUGGUCCCUACAAGGGCAGCACAGGCACUUGCCCUUUGCUCUCUAUGGUCCAGUACUCAGAAAACCCUCUCCAAACACAACCGCACAGGUGUCCCCUAGGCCAUUCCGUCCCAUGCCCCUCCCUUCCCUGGCUCCUUCUUCUCCCCUCCUUGUAACCUCUCCUCCUCUGAUGUCCUUAUUUCUGCACUGUCCUCAGUUCCCCAGGAACAUCCUCUCCUUUUUAGACCUAACGCUGUGGGGGCUUUUCUCCCCGACCCCCAUCCCAUAUCGUGAGACUCACUGGACAGAGUCCAGCUCCAGAGGCAGCAGCAGGAACAAGUCAUAAGGACUCAGGGGUCCUGGAUCCCAUCCUGGGAGACUGAGGGCACCCAGCUUGUUUUGGAGGAUUAUUCUGCACCUGGGAACCAGCUGUUAUGGCCUGGAGACCUCCCUGUGCCCUGAGGCAGAGUCUACGGUGACUCAAUGGGGAGGAAAUAUCUAUGUCACUGUGGAUUUUGGGAAAAACUUCACAGCCUGAACCUGACGCAGGACAGAGGCAUCCCCUUGUGUGCAGAGCCCAGUCCUGCUACUGGGGGCCCAGAGAGACCCUGCAGAGGUCCUGGAUGAGCAGGAGAAAAGGGAGCUGGGUAUUCUGUUCUCAGCACUGUGGCCACACACAGGGGCACCACUGCUUUGCUCUCAGAUUGUGACUGACCUGCCUGGGAGGGUCUGGGCUCUAAGUUGGUCAGAAGUGGAUGACCUGGAGGCUGGGCAUCAAUGGGGGGAAGAAGCUUCUGAGCAGCCCUGGACUCCACAGGUGUCAAGGUCAGGGGUGGAACAGGGACUGAAGGAGAAGAGAGCUCAGGAGCCCUGUGCCGGCUCUGAGGUUCCCAUCUCCUCCCUGUGACCCCUCUCCAGCCUUUGACGACCACACCCGGGAAACUGAAAAGUACAAACAUUUUCUUCUACUCUAUUUCUUUUCAGUACUCCUCCUUGAUGUAGCAACAAUAACAAUAUUUGCAUAAAUUUUUCUCAGGAGGAUACAUGGGAAAUUGGUAACAUGCUCAUUUCUGGCAGGGGACCUGAGGGGAGAGUGGGGAGGGAGGAAAAUUUCCCACCGUAAACCCUUUGGAAUGUCUUGAAUGAUCUUUUCAAAAUAUGUUACACUAAGAAUCUCUUUCAUUUGCAGGACACUUUCCAGUUAACACCCAGUUUACACAGAUGCAGCCGUGUGAUGGGCCUGUUCCCACCUACAAACACUGGUUCUUUACCCACCACACAAGAGGGGCCAAAGAAAAACUGAAACGCCAGGCUUAUGGCAAGGAAAGGGCUUUUAUUUCAGGUGACAUCAGCCGGGAGACGAGAGUGAGCCCUCAAAUUUGUCUUGUUUUGUCUCAUCUUCCAAAAAGAGGGAAGGUGAGGGGUUUCCAAGGUCUGUGAGGAAUGUGGCUGCUUGUAAACAGGCAGGGGGAGUCAGUGGGCUUGCUGGUAGGAGCUUUCCCACCAGCCUCCAUUAGGCCUCGGGAGCUGCUUGCAGGGAGGAGGAGGAGGUGACAAGGAAUCCAGGUGGACGACCGUGGCUGUUUGUCUCCAUGACAGAUAGUGGAUUCUGGAGCCAGGGAGCCAGGGAGUAAGCAGGGAAAGAGUGCUUUGGUUUUAAUCCCAUGUAUGCUGCAUUUAAUGUAGGGGAACUGAUAUCAGGGCCGGCAUGAGGCCGAGAUGCAGGCCCUCCACUGUGUGGUUCCUCCGGUAUGCCCAGGGUGUUCACACUCAGAGCCUUCACUGUUGUUCCCCAGCCUGAUAAUGUGUCUGCGAGGCAGCUCUUCCCUCCCUGAACAUUCUCUCCAAAGGUCCUCACUGAGAGGCUCCUGCUGCACCCCUGCACGUGGCACCUUCAGCCUCCCCCCCACCCCUGCCCUGCUUUGCCUUUGUUCACACCCUGUUCACUAAUGCACAUUUUUACAUGUGCUUAUUUAAUUGUUAUUGUCUGUCCCUCCUCUAGGAAAUGAGCUUCAUGAGGACAAGGAUGGGGAUUUGAUUGUUCACGGCUGUGUUUGCACUGCCCUGGAAGUGCCUGGUUGUUGAUUUAAAAAUAUUUGUUGGGGCCGGCCCGGUGGUGCAGCAGUUAAGUGCGCAUGUUCCACUUCGGUGGCCUGGGUUUCGCCGGGUUGGCAUCCCAGGUGCGGUCAUGGCAUCACUUGGCAAGCCAUGCCCUGUGUCUUUCAUUUGGAGAAGAGGAGAGCUCACUGUCGCCUGUGCCGUCUCUGAGGUUUGCUUCUUCUCGCAACCCCUCUCCCAGCCCCUUGAUGUCAACACUCUAGGAAACCGAAAAGUGGAAAGAUUUUCUUCUGCUGCCUAUUUCUCAGUUUUGUGAAUAAAAUCAUGUCUUAUUUGA